AGCAGCGUGGCUCAGUGGAAAGAGCCCGGGCUCGGGAGUCAGAGGUCCCGGGUUCGUAUCCCGGCUCUGCCU
rfam:Ornithorhynchus anatinus chromosome 5, whole genome shotgun sequence.